CAGAUUGUUAAUCGGGAAAGUUGUAACAACCGUUAAAUGCGAUUCAGAUUGAUAUUGUGAAAUUAAAGGUUUGAUUAAUUGACGACCGAAUUAAAAAAUUGUUCAUUUCAUUCAUACUCGAAUGUGUGAUUUGUUCAAAAUGUUUAGACACAUUAUCAAAAUCUUCAUCUUGUAUUUCUGCAUACCUGUUAACAUGUUUCUUAUGAAUCAUUCAUAUGUUGCAUUUUGUGAAAUUCCCAGACUUCUACAUUUUUUACAAUUAAGCAGUUUAUGACCUAUGAAAAUAUAAAUGCAUAUGCAUUAGUUGAGUUUUAUGAGGACACAAUGUUAUCUAGAUUGUUUUUUCUUAUGACAUACAGAGCUAAAUUUCCUUCUUUUUACUUUGUGAAAUGUUUCUUUUUUAUUUAUACAUGUAAUUUUUAAUGAAUGGGUUAUGAAUAAUUUUAUGUACAGCACAACCAUUGGGGCUCUUGUCCCAGACUAGGGGCUUUUUCUCAUGGUGUCAUAAUGCAAUGGACAUGUGCUUGUGUUGUAUUUUUCUUAACUAGACAUCAAAUUUCAUUGUUGUAAAUGUUAUUCAUAUCAUGAUCGAAAUUUACUUUGUAAAAUAAAUUGU
rnacentral:misc_RNA from 1 species